GAUAACGACCAUAUCACGAUGAAAAUACCAGUUCUCGUCCGAUCACUGAAGUCAAGCAACGUUGAGCGUGGUUAGUACUUGGAUGGGGGUGACCGCUUGGGAACACCACGUGUCGUUAUCU
rnacentral:rRNA from 1 species